GACGAACGCUGGCGGCGUGCUUAACACAUGCAAGUCGAACGGAAAGGCCCUGCUUGCCGGGUACUCGAGUGGCGAACGGGUGAGUAACACGUGGGUGAUCUGCCCUGCACUUCGGGAUAAGCCUGGGAAACUGGGUCUAAUACCGGAUAGGAGCCAUUUUUAGUGUGAUGGUUGGAAAGUUUUUUCGGUGUAGGAUGAGCUCGCGGCCUAUCAGCUUGUUGGUGGGGUAAUGGCCUACCAAGGCGGCGACGGGUAGCCGGCCUGAGAGGGUGGACGGCCACAUUGGGACCGAGAUACGGCCCAGACUCCUACGUGAGGCAGAAGUGGGGAAUAUUGCACAAUGGGCGCAAGCCUGAUGCAGCGACGCCGCGGGGGGGAGGACGGCCUUCGGGUUGGAAACUCCUUUCGCUAGGGACGAAGCUUUUUGUGACGGUACCUAGAGAAGAAGCACCGGCUAACUACGUG
rnacentral:rRNA from 1 species